GACAGAGGGUGCAAACGUUGCUCGGAAUUACUGGGCGUAAAGCGCGUGUAGGCGGGCCGAUAAGUCGGAUGUGAAAUCCCUGAGCUCAACUCAGGAACUGCAUUUGAAACUGCCGGUCUAGAGUGGUGGAGAGGGAAGCGGAAUUCCUGGUGUAGAGGUGAAAUUCGUAGAUAUCAGGAGGAACACCGGUGGCGAAGGCGACUUCCUGGACACCAACUGACGCUGAGACGCGAAAGCGUGGGGAGCAAACAGG
rnacentral:rRNA from 1 species